CAGCAGCCGCGGUAAGACAGAGGAUGCAAGCGUUAUCCGGAAUGAUUGGGCGUAAAGCGCGCGUAGGUGGUUUGUUAAGUUGGAUGUGAAAUCCCCGGGCUCAACCUGGGAACUGCAUCCAAAACUGGCAGGCUAGAGUAGGGCAGAGGGUGGUGGAAUUUCCUGUGUAGCGGUGAAAUGCGUAGAUAUAGGAAGGAACACCAGUGGCGAAGGCGACCACCUGGGCUCAUACUGACACUGAGGUGCGAAAGCGUGGGGAGCAAACAGGAUUAGAUACCCCAGUAGUCCCUGUCUCUUAUAC
rnacentral:rRNA from 1 species